rnacentral:rRNA from 1 species
UACGUAGGGUGCAAGCGUUGUCCGGAAUUACUGGGCUUAAAGGGUGCGUAGGCGGCGCGGAAAGUAGGGUGUGAAAUCCCUCGGCUCAACCGAGGAAUUGCGCCCUAAACUACCGUGCUCGAGGGAGAUAGAGGUGAGCGGAACUUAGGGUGGAGCGGUGAAAUGCGUUGAUAUCCUAAGGAACACCGGUGGCGAAGGCGGCUCUCUGGACCGAUACUGACGCUGAGGCGCGAAAGCGUGGGGAGCAAACAGG